rnacentral:rRNA from 1 species
UACGUAGGUGGCAAGCGUUAUCCGGAUUUACUGGGUGUAAAGGGCGAGUAGGCGGGAUUGCAAGUCAGAUGUGAAAACUAUGGGCUCAACCCAUAGACUGCAUUUGAAACUGUAAUUCUUGAGUGAUGGAGAGGCAGGCGGAAUUCCCGGUGUAGCGGUGGAAUGCGUAGAUAUCGGGAGGAACACCAGUGGCGAAGGCGGCCUGCUGGACAUUAACUGACGCUGAGGCGCGAAAGCGUGGGGAGCAAACAGG